CUGGAGUCCCUCAGUCACAGAGACAAACAAACUUCACUGAGAAGACACUCCAAGUUCACUUGUAGGUUCAGUCCAAAGACGCCAAUGGCAGAAAAUGUUCCUGAUAUGGCUAAAAAGCAACAGACUCAUUCUAUUGUUGCUGUUUACAGAGCCUAAAGCUGACACAGAGACAGCCUACCACUGUAUGAACUCAAGAAGACGAGGACUUGUUAGUGUUGGCAGCUUGAAAGGUCAACCGUUACGUUCAGUUAUGCUGGCAGACUCUCUGCACCAUAAAAAAAAAAAAAAACCUUACAUUAACAUUCCUG